UGCAGUCGAACGCGAAGACCCAGCAAUGGGUUGGUAGCGUGGCAAACGGGUGAGUAACACGUGGGCGACCUACCUCCGAGUGGGGGAUAACCUUCCGAAAGGGAGGCUAAUACCGCAUGACAUCCCCUGUUUAGAUACAGGGACAUCAAAGCCGGGGAUCGCAAGACCUGGCGCUUGGAGAGGGGCCCGCGUCCGAUUAGCUAGUUGGUGAGGUAACGGCCCACCAAGGCUUCGAUCGGUAUCCGGCCUGAGAGGGCGGACGGACACACUGGAACUGAGACACGGUCCAGACUCCUACGGGAGGCAGCAGUGGGGAAUUGUUCGCAAUGGACGCAAGUCUGACGACGCAACGCCGCGUGGAGGAUGAAGACCUUCGGGUCGUAAACUCCUUUCGACCGAGAUGAAGAGGCGCCCAUCCAAUACAUGGGCGCAUUGACAGUAUCGAGGGAAGCAGCCCCGGCUAACUCCGUGCCAGCAGCCGCGGUAAUACGGGGGGGGCAAGCGUUGUUCGGAAUUACUGGGCGUAAAGGGUUUGUAGGUGGCUGGCUAAGCCACACGUGAAAUCCCUCAGCUUAACUGGGGAACUGCGUGUGGGACUGGCGAGCUUGAGGGCAGGAGAGGAACGCGGAAUUCCAGGUGUAGCGGUGAAAUGCGUAGAUAUCUGGAGGAACACCGGUGGCGAAGGCGGCGUUCUGGACUGCAUCUGACACUGAGAAACGAAAGCCAGGGGAGCAAACGGGAUUAGAUACCCCGGUAGUCCUGCCCUAAACGAUGAAUGCUUGGUGUGAUGGGUAUCGAUCCCCGUCGUGCCGGAUUAACGCGUUAAGCAUUCCGCCUGGGGAGUACGGUCGCAAGGCUGAAACUCAAAGGAAUUGAC
rnacentral:rRNA from 1 species